UUUUGCGUCCGCGAGUUCCCCAUUUCUCUCGUGCAACUGCUUCCCACGCCCACGCCCCACGAUUUUAUCUGCUGCGGUUCCACACGAGUGUCUUUCUCAUCACUUUUCCGAAUUAAUCAGAUCCUCUCUUGCGCGUUUUGGUGUUUUCACCUUGGCUGGUAUUUUCUGGACUGGUGUUUUCGGAUUUUUUUUCCGUGGGUCUCAACUUUCUGGUUCUCCGAAGUGUCGUUCGGUCUCUUGAACAAGGCCACUUUCUCUUUCACUGGGGAUUUAUGUGAACAUUUUUUGGACGUGAAUUUGCAGUGACCCAUUCGAAGUGGUUUUUUGGAGUUUUGGAAAUUUUUCCUCUUGGGGUGGUGUUACUAUUAGAGUUCCGGCUCAAGGUGUUGAUAAUACGAAG